rnacentral:lncRNA from 1 species
CUGUAGAUACCUUCUGCUUCAGAUAAGUUUGCGUCAAUCGUCCUUGCAACAGAACCGUGAUCAAUAAAUGCUUGAAGAGCUUGGUCAGGCAUUGUUGAAACCUAGCAGAAAUUUCAUUAGAGGUCAACCAUCAUUCAUGCAUACACAGGUAAACGGAUUAUUCACAUCUUUAAUAUUUGUCCCCAUUAGCCUAGGGGUCCUGUAUUAUGAUUUCUUUUUUCUUUUUUCAGAUAAAUAUAGCCCUCUAGGUCAACAGGAGACAAGAAUGUAAGCUCCCGUUUGGAAAUAGAUGUAACUUGAAAUUUUGAGUUCUAGAAGUAGUGAUUGGACAUGCAUUUUACUUCGUGAGCUAGUUUAUAGAAACAUGAAAAAAAAAAUAAGAUCGGAUUUUGAAAAUCUUAUCAAAUUUCAUGGCCAAACAGAUAUUUGAAGAUAAAUUUUCAAGAUCUGAUACAAAAAUCUAUGACCAAACGCUAGCUAAAUAGUGACUCUGAAAAUCUAAUCAAAUUUCAUGGCCAAACAGAUAUUUGAAGAUAAAUUUUCAAGAUUUGAUACAAAAAUCUAUGACCAAAUGCUACCUAAAUAGUGGCUUUAAAAAAGGUGAUUCGUGCAAAUGCCCCCCAAGUAAUAUUUAAUUAGAGGCAAAUCAAAAAAAGUGGUUUUAUGUCUUCUUAAGGAUUUACAAUCACCACAAAAAGAAGGUGAGAAGAUGACUCACAGUGUCCGGUCCAAUCAGAGGAUCCACAUAUAAAGUGUCGGGAUACGCUGGGUUCUUAACACUAGUUGAGGCCCACAAUAGCCUCUGCUUCUUGGCACCUUUCUUUACCAACGCCUCCCAUCUAGGACCAGAAAAUUUCUUUUGGUAAAGAUCGUAAGCUAGAGCAGCCUGUGCAUUUGCAGCCUGCAAUGGAAGUACAACAAUCUGACUUUAUCCAGAACUUGUAUUUCUCUUGCAUCCUAAAAGGAGUAGAAAAAUUUGAACAAGUAGUAGGUACCUUCCCACGAAGAUCAAGAGCCUCUGGAGUUCCAAUUUUCUCAAGCAACUUGUCGAUAAGUGUGUCUACUCGACUAACGAAGAAUGAUGCAACACUUGUGACUCUGGAUAGAUCACUUAGCCCAGAGGCCUCAAGACCAUCAAGGUAAGCAUCAAUGACUGCUUCAUAUCUUGAAAGAGAAAAGAUAAGCUGUGCGUACACAUAGGAUCUACUUCAGUAUUCAAGAAACCGAUAAGGUACAAAAAGGCAAAUGAAAACAUGAAACAUUUAAAUGAAAAACUGAAUGACAGUUCUUUACACAGCAAAGACAUAAUUCUCCAUUCACUAAUUAAUUCCCUGUGCAGAUAGCUGUCUUAAGCACCACUAGACAAGCAACCUUCAAUCUCAUGCAUGAACCGUCAAGUUGUCAACAAAGGCGACAGUGAAUCAACUUACCGUCACAUUGACACUUAUUCCAAGUGAAAUGACUUCCUUGAUGGAAGGAAUGCAUGGAGCAGUAGCGGGAAUUUUAAUAUACACAUUGGAACGUUCAACCUUCUUAUGAAGCCACUUUGCAGCCUCCACAGUCCCCUCUGUAUCAUCAGCAAGUCUAGGUGAGACUUCAACAGAAACGUACCCAUCGCCACCAUCUGUUUUAUCAUAGAUUGUCUCAAAGAGUUUGCAUGCAUCUUGGAUGUCCUUUACCACAAGUUCCCAAUACACACUGUCUAUAUCUUUUCCAGCUUGUACAAGUUCCCUGUAAAGAGCAGUGGAUAAAGAUAAGCAGAGUGCAAAACAGGAAGCACGAACAGGGUUAGACGUAAUGUGAAGAAUAUCAUAGAUGCAUUUCAGGUAAUAUGUGUCAAAAGGAAACUUUGGAAAAAAACACAAAAUAUCCUAUAGAAUUGCAAGUCUUUGAACCCUAUAACAAUCUGAUUAACAUUGGUAAUGGUAUUAUAUAACAUGCAGAUGCUCGUCAUAAAGCUCCAAGCAUGAGCCAAAGGGUGGAACAGUCCUACCAAAUCCAACCUUUGUAUGGACAUUUGACCAAACAGAAACAUUUAUUAUACUUUCCCAAGACCAACUCUUGUUAUUGUCUUCAUUCUAUGUCUCCUCUCCUAUUUUACUCUAAAAAACGGUUUGUAAAUCCGUUCAGCUGAUGAGAAACACUUGAAAGUCUAGAUUACCUG